rnacentral:rRNA from 1 species
GACGAACGCUGGCGGCGUGCUUAACACAUGCAAGUCGAGCGGAAAGGCCCUUUCGGGGGUACUCGAGCGGCGAACGGGUGAGUAACACGUGAGUAAUCUGCCCUUCACUUGGGGAUAACUACCGGAAACGGUGGCUAAUACCCGCUAUGACAAAUCACUGCAUGGUGUGUUGGUGGAAAGUUUUUUCGGUGGAGGAGGUGCUCGCGGCCUAGCAGCUUGUUGGUGGGGUAAUGGCCUACCAAGGCUUCGACGGGUAGGCGGGCUGAGAGGGUGACCGGCCACACUGGGACUGAGACACGGCCCAGACUCCUACGGGAGGCAGCAGUGGGGAAUAUUGGACAAUGGGCGAAAGCCUGAUCCAGCAACGCCGCGUGAGGGAUGACGGCCUUCGGGUUGUAAACCUCUUUCAGCGGGGACGAAGCGCCGGUAAUGGUGGUGACGGUACCCGCAGAAGAAGCACCGGCCAACUACGUGCCAGCAGCCGCGGUAA